rnacentral:lncRNA from 1 species
UUAAAUACAUAUAUUUUCCUGUUUUAGCUGUACUCCAUAUUUUCCCCUCUUAAAAUCUUAAUUUACCUCUAUAGUCAGCACAGCCAAACUUCAUGACACUGUUUGUUUAUGUACCAAAUACUUUAGCUCCUCCCUUUUAGACAUUGAGACUUACUUUUACUGAAUCCCUUCAGCGGAAGGCUACAGCUUUUCUCUUAGAUGUCGUACCUUCUCUAUUGAGUCUGUUGUUAAAGCUUGCAUAUUAUUUUCCUCUCAUGAAGCUUGCACAGCCUUUGACAAUGUUUCUGGUGGUCUCAGGGACUCUAGUCAUUACGGUAACUAGCUGCCACAUGCUAGCCAAGAAAAUUAUCACUGGGUCCCAAGUUGGGUCAGCUUAAGCAGAUUCUUAGACAUGAAGCUUACAGUCCAGGUCCAGAGGGUUUCAGAAGUAAAAGAGACGCAGACAGAGGGCAUUCCAGGUGAAGGGAAUGAAACCAGCAAAUGAAUAGGGCAGAAAUGGAAAGGAGCGAGUCAUGGGUAACCAGAGUGCCUAGUCAGGAUAUGAUAUAAACUCUAGGUACCGAGCUUUCUGUGUGGCGCCUUUGUCUCUGUAAGGCCAGCUCUGCAAGCUCUGGACCUGCUUGGCUUUGAGGGUGCAUUGGCCUGAGAGCUAUUGGGAGAAAUAUCCACGUCUGCAUUCCAGACUAUAAAACCAAUCUGUAGCAAAAGAUCACAACAUAGGGAACUCUCCUGGGUACAUUUCAUAUGUACCUCCCAAGAUGAAGUGUCUUUGUAAAGCUUCCUGCUCCCAGCAGUAGAAUGUUUUACUACAUACACUGCCUUAGCUAGAGUAAAUUCUUUAGAGCUUUUUCGUCCUGUUUGUUUGUUUUUGCUUUUGCAGAUUUAUGCUUACUAUGGAUUUCUCUAACCAAGUUAGAUGGAGGGGAAAUAGCCAAGACAUAAAUAGUCCAAUCAGAUAGGCUUGUGUGAACAGGGUGGAGCUUUGUGAGAAAAUAAACUCCUGAGUACCAGAACGGUUGUUUUCAUCUUAGGCAUCAGUCUGAUAUGAAGGGAACAUUGACAGGCAAAGAAAGGCAGAGCUAGUGCUUAUAUUUUCUCUUGGAUAGAUGAAAAUAGAUCACCUUGCUCUUUGCUAUGUGACUUCUUAAGGUGGAAAACUCAACAAGUCAUACAAGGUACACAGACCCUGAUCAGAAGAAAGCAAUGUUUAUCUGAAUAAGAAGAGGAAUUGCCUCUCCAUCUCUUAUGUAGCACCAUCAAACACUAUGGCUGGAAGGACUCCUUAGAGCCAGCCCACCUAGCAUCCCUGUUCUACAUGGAGGACUACGUGUUGCAUUCCUUGCCUGUGGCCUACAACAAUAGAGCCAUGGAUAGGGAUCCAAAAUCUUCUGAGAUGCUCAGGUAGCACUCAGUCAAACUACUCCAUAGUUUUUCCUCAGUUCCUCUGUCUUAGAUUUAGAUAAUUCUAACUUUUCUUCUUCCAGCUACACUGCUUUUUUAUAUCUUGAUUACCUACUGGCUUCUCAAUUAAUUGCUUUGGAGACAUUUAUUUUAUAAUAAUUAAUUGCUGGGUUCCUAUAAAUGAGUCUAAUAGUUAAGAUAGCCUCUCAGAUGUAUCCUAAUUAUUUCACAAAUACAGUUAAGCUUGCCAGAUGGACACCUCCAUCUUCUUUUUGGAUGACUGCUGAAAUACCUGUAGAACUGUCUUGGACAAUACUAGACCUUUCGGAUUCAUCUCUAGGGCUGCAGACACUUGCUGGGAGGUAUAAACAGUAUGGUCAGAGUUGCUCUUUUGCCCUGUGUGAGCUGUGCCUAGGAUGUGUUUAAAUUGCUGUGCCUUUGUAAGGAAGGAAUUCCCACUACCAUCAAUUUCCCCAGUUCCUGUCAUCAGACCAGUUACUACAAAUGGAUUGCCUGUCAGCCUCCAAAACAGCUGGACUUAGUGUGUUGUUGCUGUUUUGUUCAGUGUAAAGGAGAAAGAACACGAUGAGUGUCUGGCAUGGCUAGGUUCCCUUUCAUGGAUAAGAGUCCAUCACUGACAACAGACAUUCAAUAAAAGGGGCAGAAAAAUAAAAGUGU